UAUACAUAGACGCUGUCGGCUACAAACGUACAGUCAGUCAUGUUGUUGGGAAUUUUUCUUGUUACAUUCGUUUCUCUUUAUCCAACAUACGCCUUUUCUGAUAUGGAGGCUGCUCAAAAUGGAUCCUGUGUAACCGUACAAGUGGAGGCAAGGAUAAACCCUGAAGAAUGUGACAGAAGGCACCGUCGAUGCCAAUAUCCUGCAGCUUGCCGAUGCCCUCCUCUCUUACGCCUCGGUCCACGGUCUUGGCGCAAGUUUUUCUACAAUCCACACCACCGCAUAUGUCAGCCGAACGGAGAAAGAUACAACUGCAAUGGCUUUCGUUCAUAUCGUGAAUGCGAGGCACGUUGCUCUCCCGCACCAGGAGCACGUUAGUGAUGUACGGUUUUAUCAUUUAUGCCCGCACUUCUCGUAAUAAACUAGUUGACACCAGAAGCAAUAAUAAGGCAGAGGCUGCUAUAAGGUACCGUUGCCAAGACACUGCUGAAAGCAUAUUUGAGGUUUUACGUGCCAGAACUGCGAUAUAAUUGUGUGGCACGCAGUAGUGGAGGAUAAGUUCAACGGGUGUUCCUCAACGUUCACUAUAUUCCAAGUAUGUGGGUAUUCUUGCAGUUACCACUGUGGGAACGCGGUAGGGUUUGGCAUGUGUUCCGUCUACGUCCGCGAGCGCAGCAGUCUGGCGUGUUACUUGCUAAGCUCCCACGGUAAACUGCUUUAGUGAGUCUAACAUGAAGUGCUUUAAAAUUGAACGGGGUUCUGUGAACACGGGCCAGGGAUUUAAAACACAUACUCGCCACGCGCGCCUUAUGGGCACAGUCUUGUUCAGACCACUGUGAAUCAGGUCA